GUGUCAGCCGCCGCGGUAAUACGAAUGGGGCAAGCGUUGUUCGGAUUUACUGGGCGUAAAGCGGGCGUAGGCGGCCGGCUAAGUCGGAUGCGAAAUCCCGGGGCUCAACUCCGGAACUGCAUUCGAUACUGGUCGGCUAGAGUUCGAGAGGGGGAUGCGGAAUUCCGCGUGUAGCAGUGAAAUGCGUAGAUAUGCGGAGGAACACCUGAGGCGAAGGCGGCAUCCUGGAUCGACACUGACGCUGAGGCCCGAAAGCGUGGGGAGCAAACAGGAUUAGAUACCCUGGUAGUCCACGCCCUAAACGAUGUCUACUAGCCGUUGCGGGUAUCGACCCCUGCAGUGCCGCAGCUAACGCGUUAAGCACCCCGCCUGGGGAGUACGGCCGCAAGGUUAAAACUCAAAGGAAUUGGCGGGG
rnacentral:rRNA from 1 species